CGUUGAAACAUCGGUUCUCGUAUGAUCACCGAAGUUAAGCAAUGCCAAGUCUGGUCAGUACUUAGAUGAGUGACCGCUUCAGAAUACCAAGU